UUUUUUAGCAAAGGAUGUAUGAUACAAUAACAAGUAGUUACAUAAUGGAAAAUAUUAGAGAGAUUUAAAAUAUAUUAAAAAGAAAAAGAAAAAAGAUUUCCUUGCUAUUCUCCUAAUAUAAAAAAAUCAGUUAGAACCACCCUGUCAACGUGACGAAAUGAUAAUAUCAAAUUCUAAAAAGUUACGCAACAAAACGUGUCUUCGCUACAAUAACUAAACAAAUAUGUCGUGGCAAAGUUUGUUAGCACAAAAUUUCGGUUCCGUAAAACACGGAUUUCCGCGUACCUAUUUAUUAGUCGAUGUUUGUAAACAGCAAAAUAUUAAAAUCAAAAUA